rnacentral:rRNA from 1 species
AUUGAACGCUGGCGGCAGGCCUAACGCAUGCAAGUCGAAUGGUAACAGGAAACAGCUUGCUGUUUCGCUGACGAGUGGCGGACGGGUGAGUAAUGUCUGGGAAACUGCCUGAUGGAGGGGGAUAACUACUGGAAACGGUAGCUAAUACCGCAUAACGUCGCAAGACCAAAGAGGGGGACCUUCGGGCCUCUUGCCAUCAGAUGUGCCCAGAUGGGAUUAGCUAGUAGGUGGGGUAACGGCUCACCUAGGCGACGAGCCCUAGCUGGUCUGAGAGGAUGACCAGCCACACUGGAACUGAGACACGGUCCAGACUCCUACGGGAGGCAGCAGUGGGGAAUAUUGCACAAUGGGCGCAAGCCUGAUGCAGCCAUGCCGCGUGUAUGAAGAAGGCCUUCGGGUUGUAAAGUACUUUCAGCGGGGAGGAAGGGAGUAAAGUUAAUACCUUUGCUCAUUGACGUUACCCGCAGAAGAAGCACCGGCUAACUCCGUG